rnacentral:misc_RNA from 2 species
CCCAACUAUCCCUAUUAAUCAUUACGGUGAUCCUAGAAACCAACAAAAUAAAACCAUGCCAUCCUAUUUUAUUAUUCCAUGCUAAUGUAUUCAGGUACUAGCCUACUUUGAGCACUCUAAUUUUUUCAAGGUAAUAGUCCUGCUUCCCCAACGCACCAAAUGAAUGGCAUACUGGUUAUUCAGAAGGUAAGAACCCAUCACACCAGUACAGAUAGUGAAGUCCGACCGAUGGACAGAUUCUGAAAUUCAACUACGAGCUUUUUAACUGCAACAACUUUAAUAUACGCUAUUGGAGCUGGAAUUACUGUGGCUGCUGGCACCAGACUUGCCCUCCAA